rnacentral:rRNA from 1 species
GACGAACGCUGGCGGCGUGCUUAACACAUGCAAGUCGAACGAUGAAGAAGAGAAACGCGAACUUCGGUUCAAAUCUCACUUCGGAUUAGUGGCAGACGGGUGAGUAACGCGUGAGCAACCUACCUCUUACAAAGGGAUAGCCUCGGGAAACCGUGAUUAAUACCAUAUGACACAUUCAUAAGGCAUCUUAAGAAGGUUAAAGCUACGGCGGUAAGAGAUGGGCUCGCGUCCGAUUAGCUGGUUGGGGAGGUAACGGCCAACCAAGGCGACGAGGGGUAACCGAGCUGAGAGCGUGCACCGUCACAUUUGAACUACGACCCGGUCCCCACUCCUACGGGAGGCAGCAGUGGGGAAUAUUGCACAAUGAAGCGAACUCUGAUGCAGCGGCGCCGCGUGAGCGAUGAAGGAGUUCGUUUCGUAAAGCUCUGUUCUAUGAGAAGAAAGGGACUGUACCAUAGGAGAAAGCCCCGGCUAACUACGUG